ACUAAUCUAUCUUGGAUAGCAAGCUCCUAGCUCCCAGCUCCCUCUUCAAGCUUAGUUGUACUUCUUUUGAGUUCAGUUCUAUUCUAGGAUCUGGUCUUGAAACAACAGCCUCUUCCUCACCUUACAAGUACACUAGAGACCCAACUUCCCGCUGACCUCUCUAAGACUCUGGUCUUGGUCGAAGAAUUACUCGUCUUUC
rnacentral:lncRNA from 1 species